UUUUGACCUCAGAUCAUGAAGGGAUACCCGCUGAACUUAAGCAUAUCAAUA
rnacentral:rRNA from 1 species